rnacentral:rRNA from 1 species
UACGGAGGGUGCAAGCGUUAAUCGGAAUUACUGGGCGUAAAGCGUGCGUAGGCGGCCUGUUAAGUCGGACGUGAAAUCCCCGGGCUCAACCCGGGAACUGCAUCCGAUACUGGCAGGCUUGAAUUCGGGAGAGGGAUGCGGAAUUCCAGGUGUAGCGGUGAAAUGCGUAGAUAUCUGGAGGAACACCGGUGGCGAAGGCGGCAUCCUGGACCGACAUUGACGCUGAGGCGCGAAAGCCAGGGGAGCAAACGGGG